rnacentral:rRNA from 1 species
UACAGAGGGGGCAAGCGUUAUUCGGAAUUAUUGGGCGUAAAGGGCGCGUAGGCGGCUAGCAAGUGGAAGGUGAAAUCCCUCGGCUUAACCGAGGAACUGCCCUCCAAACUGCUUGGUUUGAGACCGGGAGAGGUGAGUGGAAUUCCCAGUGUAGCGGUGAAAUUCGUAGAUAUUGGGAAGAACACCGGUGGCGAAGGCGGCUCUCUGGACCGAUACUGACGCUGAGGCGCGAAAGCGUGGGGAGCAAACAGG